rnacentral:lncRNA from 1 species
UACAACUUUACAAGUCAGGCUUCACAUCUCCUGUUUCACCUGCUGCUGGGGCUGCAGAGUGCCUCCCAUUCUUCAAUGUCAUUUAACUCUGUAAUUGUGUUACUUAACUCCGGAAAGCUUUGGGAGGCUACAGUUGGGAUGAGAAAACGCUACCCAGAAUAAGCACUCCUGGAAACCUUCAUUCCAAGGGGGGUUAUAUAUGUCACCAUGAGAAGGUGGAACAGGGCUUGGGCAGAGCCUGGAAGGUCCACAGGAGUUUUCCCCAGAUGAGACUCAGCUGCCUGAACAGGAGGGACCAGUGAGAAGGCCUGGCUGUUCCUGAUUCUGGCAUCUUGUCUCCAUCCUUUGUGCACGAGCCCCAGAGAUCCAGCCUCUGCUUUGGGCCGCAACAUCCCACCUGACCCUUCACUCCCCUUAACAGCUGGCGCUCAGUGGGGAAGGUGGAAAUAAUUCCCAAGAACUGAUAAGUUUCCCAGGCUGCUUUGAGAUGCCCAAUGGGGUUUGAAGGAGCUCCCAGUAGGAAGCUGCUAAGGGAGCACUGAACCUAACUGAACUCCAAACCCUUCCAGAUCCCCCCGGGCAACUCCUUCCAUGGAAAAUAACCAGCACAGGGAUCUGAGGAUGGGCGGGGAAAAUUCUGAAGUCUGUUUCAAAUCUGUGGCUGACUGUCUCUGGGCCUGGAGACUGCUCUCCCAGAGACAGGGAUUUAAGCAGCGCACCUGCACGGGUGACGCUCCGAUGUCAUUCCUUAGUCCUGCCCUGCUCGGGGCUCCCAGCCAUGUACUCACACCUACACUUUAUUAUCUUACAUGCCUGUGCCCCCCUUGCCUUUUACCGCCCGGUCUGUAAGCUUUCAGAGACAGAACCAAACCUGAUCUGUUCCUUUACCCCACACCCCAGCACAGUGACUGGCACAUAGGUGUUAAAUCACUGUCUGCUGAUUGAUUCAUAAAUGGAAAGCCUGGCUUUCUUUUCUUUUCUUUCUUUUUUCUUUCUUUCUUUCUUUCUUUCUUUUUUUUUUUUUUUUUUUUUUUUUGAGACGGAGUUUCGCUCUUGUUACCCAGGCUGGAGUGCAAUGGCAUGAUCUCAGCUCACGGCAACCUCCGCCUCCCGGGUUCAAGCAAUUCUCCUGCCUCAGCCUCCUGAGUAGCUGGGAUUAGAGGCAUGCGCCACCAUGCCCAGCUAAUUUUUGUAUUUUUUAUCAGAGACGAGGUUUCUCCAUGUUGGCCAGUCUGGUCUCGAACUCCUGACCUCAGGUGAUCCGCUCGCCUCGGCCUCCCAAAGUGCUGGGAUUACAGGCGUGAGCCACCACACCUGGCCGGAAAGCCUGGCUUUCUAAGCCUUGGGUUGAUGCAAACCUGCUGAAGGAAGCACUCCCUAGGGGAAUGCAAGCGCCCCUUAUCUGAAAUGCUUGAGACCAGAAGUGUUUCGAAUUUCCGACUUUUUCAGAUUUUGGAAUAUUUUCAUAAACAUAAUGAGGUAUCUUGGGAAUGAGACUCAAGUCUAAACACGAAGUUCAUUUCUGUUUCAUAGACACCUUAGACACGUAGCCUGAAGGUAAUUUCAUACAAUAUUUUAAAUAAUUUUGUUCAUGAAACAAAGUUUUGACUGUUUUUGACUACGACCCUUCAUGAGGAUAGGUGUGGAAUUUUCCACUUGCGGUAUCACAUCGAAGCUCAACAAGUUUCAGACAUUGGAGCAUUUCAGAUUUUGGAUUUUCAGACUAGAGAUUCCUAGUAUUACCUAUGUUACCACUUCACCGUGUUUCAGGCACUGUGUUAGGUGCAUAAGGAUGUCAAGAUGCAUAAGACAUUGUACUUUCCUUCAAAGAGUUGCCAGUCUUACUUCCACUAGGAAUCCAUCCUGGUUGUCCCGAUUCAGAAGUCAUUUCUGCCCCUACCUUCCUAGUCAUUUACGAUGUACUUUGCUAUGUCUAAUACAGCACUUAUCCUGUAUGACCUCAUUAAAAUAACUUCUGCUCGCAUCUGUCUGCCUUUUUAGCUGAAAGGCUCCUAGAGGAAAAGGACCUGACUUCAACUCCUAGCACUCCUGGGCGUUAGCUUCUUGGGGCUCUGUUUUCUUAGUCUGAAAAACGAGGUGGUCAUAAGAAGUCCAGUUUCCAGAUAAGAGGGUUGAGGACAGAAGUGUCAGCCAAAUGUCCCUGUCAAACUGGCCACUCAGAGCCACCUCCUUGUUUACCAUUCUCCUGGGCCAACUUAUUCCUUCCUCCUCAUUCUUCUAGGAGGCUGAUGCAGAGAACAAGACGAUGCCACCCAAGUCAUCCUUUGUUCCAGACACCAGUUCUCA